GAUGAAGAACGCAGCGAAAUGCGAUACGUAAUGUGAAUUGCAGAAUUCCGUGAAUCAUCGAGUCUUUGAACGCACAUUGCGCCCCCUGGUAUUCCGGGGGGCAUGCCUGUCCGAGCGUCAUUGCUGCCCUCAAGCACGGCUUGUGUGUUGGGCCUCCGUCCUCCUCCCGGGGGACGGGCCCGAAAGGCAGCGGCGGCACCGCGUCCGGUCCUCGAGCGUAUGGGGCUUCGUCACCCGCUCUUGUAGGCCCGGUCGGCGCUUGCCGACACAUCAAUCUUUUUUCCAGGUUGACCUCGGAUCAGGUAGGGAUACCCGCUGAACUUAAGCAUAUCAAUAAGCGGAGGA
rnacentral:misc_RNA from 1 species